ACAGCAGUCGCCGCGGUAAUACGAAGGGGGCUAGCGUUGUUCGGAUUUACUGGGCGUAAAGCGCACGUAGGCGGACUUUUAAGUCAGGGGUGAAAUCCCGGGGCUCAACCCCGGAACUGCCUUUGAUACUGGAAGUCUUGAGUAUGGUAGAGGUGAGUGGAAUUCCGAGUGUAGAGGUGAAAUUCGUAGAUAUUCGGAGGAACACCAGUGGCGAAGGCGGCUCACUGGACCAUUACUGACGCUGAGGUGCGAAAGCGUGGGGAGCAAACAGGAUUAGAUACCCCUGUAGUCCCUGUCUCUUAUAC
rnacentral:rRNA from 1 species